rnacentral:rRNA from 1 species
UUUUAUCCUGGCUCAGCAUUAACGCGGCGGUGUGCUUAACACAUGCAAGUCGAACGGGUGAAGCCCAGCUUGUUGGGUGGAUCAGUGGCGAACGGGUGAGUAACACGUGAGCAACCUGCCCCUGACUCUGGGAUAAGCGCUGGAAACGGCGUCUAAUACUGGAUACGAGAUGUGACCGCAUGGUCAAUGUCUGGAAAGAUUUUUCGGUUGGGGAUGGGCUCGCGGCCUAUCAGCUUGUUGGUGAGGUAAUGGCUCACCAAGGCGUCGACGGGUAGCCGGCCUGAGAGGGUGACCGGCCACACUGGGACUGAGACACGGCCCAGACUCCUACGGGAGGCAGCAGUGGGGAAUAUUGCACAAUGGGCGAAAGCCUGAUGCAUGCAACGCCGCGUGAGGGACGACGGCCUUCGG